UACGAGGGGGGCAAGCGUUGUUCGGAAUUAUUGGGCGUAAAGGGUGCGUAGGCGGUGCGGUAAGUCUGUUGUGAAAUCUCCGGGCUCAACUCGGAGUCUGCAUCAGAAACUGCCGUGCUGGAGUGUGGGAGAGGUGAGUGGAAUUCCCGGUGUAGCGGUGAAAUGCGUAGAGAUCCGGAAGAACACCGGUGGCGAAGGCGGUCUGCUGGGCAGUUGCUGACACUGAGGCGCGACAGCGUGGGGAGCAAACAGG
rnacentral:rRNA from 1 species